UAGCUUCUUGUGGCUUCGGGGCAGCGCUGGUCGGUUCCGGGGCUUAAAAAGGGAACGGGGUGAAAGUCCCCACGCGGAAACGGCGCUGUAAGUGUCGAUGCGUCCGGUUCGUCGGCGGAAGCCGGUCAUUGGGGAAACCUGAGAAGGCAGACCCGGACACGUUGGAGGCACAAGUCAGAAGACCUACAGGAAUGAGAAAAGCAGG
rnacentral:ncRNA from 2 species